GGGCGGUUAGCUCAGUGGGAGAGCACUACUUUGACAUGGUAGGGGUCGUAGGUUCGAAUCCUACACCGCCCA
rnacentral:tRNA from 1 species